rnacentral:rRNA from 1 species
AUACGUAGGGUGCGAGCGUUGUCCGGAAUUACUGGGCGUAAAGAGCUCGUAGGUGGUUUGUCGCGUCGUCUGUGAAAUUCCGGGGCUUAACUCCGGGCGUGCAGGCGAUACGGGCAUAACUUGAGUACUGUAGGGGAGACUGGAAUUCCUGGUGUAGCGGUGAAAUGCGCAGAUAUCAGGAGGAACGCCGGUGGCGAAGGCGGGUCUCUGGGCAGUAACUGACGCUGAGGAGCGAAAGCAUGGGUAGCGAACAGGAUUAGAUACCCUGGUAGUCCAUGCUGUAAACGGUGGGCGCUAGGUGUAGGGGUCUUCCACGACUUCUGUGCCGUAGCUAACGCAUUAAGCGCCCCGCCUGGGGAGUACGGCCGCAAGGCUAAAACUCAAAUGAAUUGACGGGG